UGGGGGAAUAUUGCACAAUGGGCGAAAGCCUGAUGCAGCAACGCCGCGUGAGUGAUGAAGGCCUUCGGGUUGUAAAGCUCUGUCUUUUGGGACGAUAAUGACGGUACCAAAGGAGGAAGCCACGGCUAACUACGUGCCAGCAGCCGCGGUAAUACGUAGGUGGCAAGCGUUGUCCGGAUUUACUGGGCGUAAAGGAUGCGUAGGCGGAUUUUUAAGUGAGAUGUGAAAACCCUAAGCUUAACUUGGGGACUGCAUUUCAUACUGGAAAUCUAGAGUGCGGGAGAGGAGAAUGGAAUUCCUAGUGUAGCGGUGAAAUGCGUAGAGAUUAGGAAGAACACCAGUGGCGAAGGCGAUUCUCUGGACCGUAACUGACGCUGAGGCAUGAAAGCGUGGGUAGCAAAACAGGAUUAGAUACCCUGGUAGUCCACGCCGUAAACGAUGAGUACUAGGUGUAGGAGGUAUCGACCCCUUCUGUGCCGCAGUUAACACAAUAAGUACUCCGCCUGGGAAGUACGAUCGCAAGAUUAAAAACUUAAAGGAAUUGAC
rnacentral:rRNA from 1 species